rnacentral:misc_RNA from 1 species
GAUGAAGAACGCAGCGAAAUGCGAUAAGUAAAGUGAAUUGCAGAAUUCAGUGAAUCAUCGAAUCUUUGAACGCACAUUGCGCCCGCCAGUAUUCUGGCGGGCAUGCCUGUUCGAGCGUCAUUUCAACCAUCAAGCCCCCGGCUUGUGUUGGGGACCUGCGGCUGCCGCAGGCCCUGAAAACCAGUGGCGGGCUCGCUAGUCACUCCGAGCGUAGUAAUACAUCUCGCUCAGGGCGUGCUGCGGGUUCCGGCCGUUAAAAAGCCUUAUUUACCCAAGGUUGACCUCGGAUCAGGUAGGAAGACCCGCUGAACUUAAGCAUAUCAAUAAGCGGAGGA